rnacentral:rRNA from 1 species
CCAAUAGCGUAUAUUAAAGUUGCUGCAGUUAAAAAGCUCGUAGUUGAAUUUCGGAACCAAUAUGUUGGUUGUGCCUCGGUACGAACUGGCAUUGUUGGUUUCUCCCUUCUGACGAACUAUGAUGUCAUUAAUUUGGUGUCAUGGGGAAUCAGGACUGUUACUUUGAAAAAAUUAGAGUGUUUAAAGCAGGCUCACGCUUGAAUACAUUAGCAUGGAAUAAUGAAAUAGGACGUUUGAUUCUAUUUUGUUGGUUUCUAGGAUCGACGUAAUGAUUAAUAGGGAUAGUUGGGGGCAUUAGUAUUCAAUUGUCAGAGGUGAAAUUCUUGGAUUUAUUGAAGACUAACUACUGCGAAAGCAUUUGCCAAGGAUGUUUUCAUUAAUCAAGAACGAAAGUUAGGGGAUCGAAGACGAUCAGAUACCGUCGUAGUCUUAACCAUAAACUAUGCCGACUAGGGAUCGGAUGAUGUUAAUUUUUUAAUGACUCAUUCGGCGCCUUACG